AUUCCAGCUCCAAUAGCGUAUAUUAAAGUUGUUGCAGUUAAAAAGCUCGUAGUUGGAUUUCAGUCUUAACUCGUCUGGCCCGCUCCCUUGAGGAGCCGAGUGCCGGUUGCGAGUUGGACUUCCUUCUAGCAUGGAACCUCUACCGUUAUGCGGCCGGGGGGGACAUCUGGAUCAUUUACUUUGAAGAAAUUAGAGUGUUCAAAGCAAGCUUACGCUGUGAAUAUAUUAGCAUGGAAUAAUAACAUAGGACUCGGGUUCUAUUUUGUUGGUUUCUAGGACUCAAGUAAUGAUUGAUAGGGACAGUUGGGGGUGCUGCUAUUAUAUGGCCAGAGGUGAAAUUCACGGAUUCAUAUAAGAGCAACUUAUGCGAAAGCAUUCACCAAGGAUGUCUUCAUCG
rnacentral:rRNA from 1 species